rnacentral:rRNA from 1 species
UACGGGGGGGGCAAGCGUUGUUCGGAAUUACUGGGCGUAAAGGGCUCGUAGGCGGCCAACUAAGUCAGACGUGAAAUCCCUCGGCUUAACCGGGGAACUGCAUCUGAUACUGGAUGGCUUGAGUUCGGGAGAGGGAUGUGGAAUUCCAGGUGUAGCGGUGAAAUGCGUAGAUAUCUGGAGGAACACCGGUGGCGAAGGCGGCAUCCUGGACCGACACUGACGCUGAGGAGCGAAAGCCAGGGGAGCAAAGCGGG